GAAGUAGUCGUCGUCUGACCAAUUGACUCGGACA
rnacentral:sRNA from 1 species